UAAACAGAAUCCGUAUACAAAAUGAUUUAAAUAACUAAGGAAAAACAUAAAACUAUCUUCCCGUGACAGCCUGGGACGCCACCAUAGACCAAUCGGCAAUCUUCAAGUCUUCAUCCCGCGUCAUCAGCAGAUUCUUCACCGCAAUCACAGGCAGAGGUUAAUGCUGGCCAUCGGCACAGACAUAUCACCAUCCAUGGACUUAGCCACAUCCAGCCGUCUCCUCAUCGGCAACUCUCCUGCAGACCAGCUACCUUUGCCCAGUCCUGCCGAUCUAUACUCUACCGAUCCUGGACACGCGCCCAAAAACGGUGUCAACACCCGUCGAGCAGAAGCCACAUCCCGGAGGAGUCCUCACACAUCAGGCAGCUUGGCCUCACGAUUUGCAACUGCUCCGAGGACAGGUCCUUCAUCGUCCGUCCAUUCGUUUUGCUAUGCAAUUUAGGCUGCAGACAUUCUUAGACCAGCCACCAACCUGGUCUAUCAACACGAUCAACUAAAUAUCAAAUCUGAGCCACGUCCACGACAGUCAGACGCCUCCUCCUUGUCCUUCCCGACUGCCUCCCCAUUCUCCCUGAUGAUGCCGGAGGCCUACCCCUGCCUCGUCACGCUCACGCCACCGCCCUCCGUCGUCCUGCAUCUCGCUGCCUUGUGCUGCCGCCGCACGCCAGGUGCUCAGAUCUUCGUCGGGCCCUUUGUCGGAGACGAGCACCCAACAAGUCAAUGAUAGUGGGCACUUCUAUGGCAUGGCUGAGAUGGUUGGAACUAUUGAUUUUCAAAAGGACAUGGACUUCUGGCGUGAGGAUAAAUAUCACACUGCAGAAUAAUUAAAAAAAGACUGUCACACAGCAGAUAUACACAAGAAGUAAGUUGGCAUGUCCUAUUUUGCAUCGAACUUAUUUUAGUACUGUUAAAUUGUUAGAUUUUAGGAAGUAGUUUUUUACUUCUCUCCAGCAUUUCAGGAAACCUAUUAAAUUAUUUGUUUGGGUGGCAUAAACAAAGAUAUUUUUUAGUCCAUAGAAAAGUUUUGGAUUUGUUCGAAAAAGCAUAUUUGGUAGCUUUUGAAACCAUUGGCAUAUUGCAAGGUUUUCUUCAGCCUCAGCAGCCUAUGCUGUCCAAAAUCAAGAGUCGAGAGCAACUACGCCAUAUCGGAUAUCUGCAACAGUAGAGAAGAUGGUGCUUGAUGUUUGAAUAUCUAAUAUAAAUGGUAGAGAGGAUCUCACUGACCGAUGUAUCUUGAGUCCACUAGACAUCUAGAUAAAGCAUCAGCUAAUUGGAAGCUCUAAGGCCACCAUCUGAAGAUAGUAGAGCUUGAAAACCUGAAGCCUUCUUGCUGCCUAGCCAUGUGCUCCUCUCUGG